rnacentral:misc_RNA from 1 species
GGGGAACCCAUGCAAAUGGGUCGGAGGCAGCUGUCGAAGGUGGGGUUGGUAAUUGGGGUGAAGUCGUAACAAGGUAUCCGUACCGGAAGGUGCGGAUGGAUCACCUCCUUUCUAAGGAGAACAGGGAGUAAGGCAGAGAGAAAGAGGUUUAACCUUUUGUAUCUCACCUCACACUUCCCGAAUCCUAUGGUCGAUGACCACUUUUAGUCUUCUGUUGGUUUUAUAUAAUUUUGUAUUUGAUAUUGUAAAUUAGAGAUAGUUUACAACUAAAAUACAAAAGCAACUCCGGAAUCAAAUUAGGAGUACGCAGUAGGUUUCAUCAGUUCAUCAUCGCCCUGCCGGGCUUGAUUCACUGGAAACCCUUGCGUGGGACACACCGAGGUUCGUCUACGCCCCAAGGGGCUUGACUCACCAGGUCGUGUCCGCAAGUUCUUUGACAAUUGCACAUAGGAAGAAAGAAGCAGGAACAAUUUCAUUUGAAGUCAUUCAGAUGAGAGAGUUCUCUCGAAGCGAAAAUA